UCUUCUCUUUUGUCAACAGAAUAAAGCUUUUCAUAUUACAUUUUGUAUAAUAUUGGUUUCCAGCGUACCUGUUGUACUCAUUCUGGACAGAAAUCUAUUUUGCAUUAUAAUGUAUUAAAAAAAUUUGUUGGGUUGCCUAGGAAGUCGAACUUGGCAUAUGGUAUGAUGGAUGUUGUCCAGGAGUCAAUCUUUCGAUUUUGGCGGGGUUGGUGGUGCUUAGUCUUAAGUUUUCUAUGGUGUGUCUUGUGUACUGUUGUUUGUUUGUUUGUCUUUUUCUUUUAUAGCCAUGGCGCUGUCAGUUUGUUUUUGAUGUGUGAGUUUGAAUGUCCCUAUGGUAUCUUUCGCCCCUCUUUUAUUAAACUCAUUUUGAUUAUGCUCUAUUGGGUAAGGAAUGACAAAUUUUGUUUUAUAGUCGAUAGUGCACCUGUCAAGGUCACAUCUAUUGAAAGUUUAACAAAUAUUUUCUCCGAUGUUAUCUUUUUUGAACCUUCAACCAAAGUUACCUGGACAAAGCACUUUAGAAAAAAAGAGACCCAUAUUGAU
rnacentral:lncRNA from 1 species